UACGUAGGGGGCAAGCGUUAUCCGGAUUUACUGGGUGUAAAGGGAGUGUAGACGGUUCUGCAAGUCUGGAGUGAAAGCCCGGGGCUCAACCCCGGGACUGCUUUGGAAACUGUGGAACUAGAGUGCAGGAGAGGUAAGUGGAAUUCCUAGUGUAGCGGUGAAAUGCGUAGAUAUUAGGAGGAACACCAGUGGCGAAGGCGGCUUACUGGACUGUAGCUGACGUUGAGGCUCGAAAGCGUGGGGAGCAAACAGG
rnacentral:rRNA from 1 species